rnacentral:tRNA from 1 species
GCCUCGGUGGCUUAGUGGUCAGGACACCUGACUGCCAAUCCACAAAUCCCGGGUUGGAAUCCCGGUUGAGGCA